rnacentral:rRNA from 1 species
GAUGAACGCUGGCGGCGUGCCUAAUACAUGCAAGUCGAGCGAACAGACGAGGAGCUUGCUCCUCUGACGUUAGCGGCGGACGGGUGAGUAACACGUGGAUAACCUACCUAUAAGACUGGGAUAACUUCGGGAAACCGGAGCUAAUACCGGAUAACAUAUUGAACCGCAUGGUUCAAUAGUGAAAGACGGUCUUGCUGUCACUUAUAGAUGGAUCCGCGCCGCAUUAGCUAGUUGGUAAGGUAACGGCUUACCAAGGCAACGAUGCGUAGCCGACCUGUGAGGGUGAUCGGCCACACUGGAACUGAGACACGGUCCAGACUACUACGGGAGGCAGCAGUAGGGAAUCUUCCGCAAUGGGCGAAAGCCUGACGGAGCAACGCCGCGUGAGUGAUGAAGGUCUUCGGAUCGUAAAACUCUGUUAUUAGGGAAGAACAAAUGUGUAAGUAACUAUGCACGUCUUGACGGUACCUAAUCAGAAAGCCACGGCUAACUACGUG